rnacentral:rRNA from 1 species
GCUAGUGGAUAUUGCACGUUGAAUGUAUCAGUCCUCCUUGGAUGAAUGAAGCAACGUUGCGCGUGGUUAGUUUCCUGAUGGGUGACCAAAUGGGUAAUCGCAUGCUCCUGGCU